GUCGUUGUUGUCGUUGUUGGUUGGUGUGAAGCAGGCCCAAGAUGCCGGGUGGCCAGCCCAUCCUAGUCCGUCCACCAAGAAGAGCUACAAAAGGCAGCGGCUCUCGGGUACCGCAACAAAGACGAGGCCCCGGAUCGAUCGAGGAAGCAAGCAGCUGCACCCAAACCCUAGCCGACGCCCCCUCCUCCUCCUCCGGAUUCUUGCGGCGUGCGAUGUGCCGGUGCCAUGGCGCUGCGCUCUCCCUCCAGCACUUCGAGGCGGACUCUGGGACCCCGUUAUUCGCCGCCGGCGGACUCUCUGCCUCCCACCUCUCAGGUACCUAAUUGCGCUCUCGUUCGUUCGAUCCACCUACUAUGCCUGCAAUUCGCUGCCCGACUGCCUUGUUCUGACUUUUAACACCAAAUUAACCCCAUCAAACGGGUUUUAUGCUAGUAACAAAUCAAAUUAUAUGAUGCGCCUUAGCCUUUUCCCCAGACAAUAACAAAGAUAUUGGUUUGAUGCAAUUUCCUAAUUCAGACCCUUGUUAGGAGAGGGUUUCUGUAAUUUGACCCAAUAAUGGUGAAUAUUGCCAAUAAGUGCCGGAUUCAAGUGGAGGCCUAUCUUACAAUAACAAAGAUAUUGGUUUGAUGCAAUUUCCUAGUUCAGACCCUUGUUAGGAGAGGGCUUCUGUAAUUUGACCCAAUAAUGGUGAAUAUUGCCACUGAAAUGUGCACAAUAAGUGCCGGAUUCAAGUGGAGGCCUAUCUUAGAUUUUUGUGCUAAAUUUUUUACUUUUGCUUGCUUGAAGAAGUGGUGAUAAUUACUCAGUGGUUGGGUUUGGCCCCUGGCCCUGCUCGCACAUUGACUACACAGUGGAUAUGAUGAACCCCUUUUAUAUGCACAUAAAUCUAAGAUGAAAAAAUUGGUACUUUUGCACUGUAGUUUGAAAAUUUUGGUGCUUUUGCAGAGUAGAGUAGUUUUUACUGAAGCAAUCUGUAGUGGUUGGGCGGCCCCUGGCCCCGCUAGCACAUUGACUACACUGCUGAUAUGAUGAAACAUUGAUUCCAUGAUAUAUGGGCAUUUGAUUUACUUUGAGUGAAGAAGAGUAUGCCAUCUCUUAGUUUCCCUUAGUGACUUUUUGUGGUUCUUCUGCUGUACUGUUGUUAAACCAUUUCCCAAACCCACUCUAGUAGUAUAAAUUUGAUAGCUUUAGACAUACUGGUGACAAAUCUUCUGAACGUUUGAUAGUAUGGAUUCUAGAAGGACUACUGUUAGCCAAUUGCAGCCAUGCAUGCUCUGUCGAUCGUUAGCAUCCACUAACAUGCAUGAAUAGCUGCUUUAACUCAUGUAUCACUAUCAAACGGUUUAUAUGCUAACAAAUUAUAUGAUGCGCCUUAGCCCUUUCCCCAGACAAUAACAAAGAUAUAUGUUUGACGCAAUUUCCUAGCUCAGAUCAGACCCUUGUUACGAGAUGGUUUCUGUUUUAUUUUAACUUAGUGACAUUUUGUGUUUCUCGAAAUAUAACUUUAACCUAUUUUAUAGCUUCUAUAUUAAUGAUGUUGUAACUUGUACUGUUAAAUCAUUUAUGAAAACAUGUACUGUAAUAUAAACUUCAUGUAGUCAAUCUUGAUAGCUUCUAGGCAUACGAGUGGUCAAACUUUUGAAAGUUUGAUAGCAUGGAUUCUGAAAGGACAAUGUUGGCCAAUUGCAAGCCAUGCCCUCUCGGUUGCAUCCACUAACAUACGACCUGGGCAGAAAUGAUGCUAGAACGGCGGGUGACCAGAAAUGAUGGGACCGUAUUCAACGUUUGCUGGAACCGCCCCGGUAAUUUGCUACCACCCGCGGUCACCAUUUUUUCGCUGCAACCUGCAUCAGCGUUUGGCUACGACCUGGGCAGCACUUUGCUGGACCUAGCGUCGGCAUUUGCUGCAACCGGCCAGGCGGCAUGCUGGAAGUAUCCACCGUUGCUAAAAUUGGACGCAUUCCUGGCCGCCAACUUUUUUUUGCUGGAACCAGCAUUAUGUUUUGUUGGAACCUGCUAGUUCUUUUGCUACAAUCUUUUUCUUUGAAAUUUCUGACGUGACUUUCUUGUAGCAACCUUUGUUAAUUUUAGCUGGAACUAGUUAAUUUUUUGCUACAACCGACUAUUAGAGAUUUUUGCUACUGAGAUUUUUUUGCUGGAUCAGUGGCUUUUUUUGCUACAACCGAUGUUUUUUUUAGCUGGAACCGACUAAAUAUUUUGCUUCAAUUGACCAUUUUUGGUUUUUGCUACCGAAUUCUGUUUUUUGCUGGAUCAGUGGCUUUUUUUGCUACAACCGGUGUCUUUUUAGCUGGAACUGACUAAAUGUUUUGCUUCAGUGGUUUUUGCUACCGAGUUCUUUGCUGGAUCAUGGCAGUGCUAGUCGAUGGUGGUGGUGAGCCGAAGCCGCCGACACGAGAAUUUUUUCUACAACCAUGACGACUGUGGGAUGGAACCGGUCAACAGUAGAAGCUGACACACAAUCUGCGGCGGUGCUGCAAUCCCGGUGGCCGUGAGACGAGGGACGGCAAGCUGACAACAGCAUCAGUCCCGCCGGGGCUGCCGACGCCGACGAAUGCGUUUACCGCAUCUAGCGAAGGAGCAACACGACAGAGGAGGCGUGGUCUGGUGGCGACUACGCACUUUCCAGGGAUGGGACCCAAUAGAGGAGGCGUGGUCUGGUGAUGACUAUGCAUUUUCUAGUGGUGGGAGAUUAGAGGACCAGAUCUGACGGUUAGGGAGAAAAGAAUCGAAUGGACAGGGUAUGACCGGCCGAACUACUGGGCCGGUGCGCCGGCGCAGAUCACUCGCCAAUAAUUUAUGUGCUAUACCGGGGAUUUUGGCAGCUUGAUGUAACUCUUACUGUUAACUCCAUGUGCUGUUCUAAGCUGCAUGGAGCAGGUGCUUUGUUAAGUACUGCAUGUUAAUUAGUGUUUGGUAAUUGAAUCUGGUCUGCGUGUUCAUUAUCUAUGGAUUGUCUGUGAUAAUUUAUAGAAUAAUUCAUGGUAUGACACUUAAUCGAAUGGUGAUUUAGUAUUUCUGGCUUCACUCGCAUAGACUGCUUGCAGAAAUCAUACAUUGUCACUGUUGUCAUAUAUUGGAAUCUCUGCUAUAAAAAAACUAAAGGAACCGGCUUUGGCAAAGCAGCUAACCGAGUUGCAAUUUGUUGCUUUCCUCCUUUUCUAAAAACUAGCAUUGCAACGGGAGAAUAAAACACAUGCUUCUAGCACAAUAAGCACGACUCAAAACCCCUUCAUAGAUUCACGUUAUCUAUUUUAACGUAACGCCUCAUCCAUUUUAUUGCUAACCCUCAUUCCUGCCUUUAUCAACCAUGAUCGUGAUGGCCAUCUGAUUGUGUUGCGUCCCAAAGUGGCCAACCCCCCAUUGCCUAAACCCUAAAUCCACUCACACUUGCCACUGAACCACACCUGAGUCCGGCGGCGCGCGCCCGGCCGCCGCCCGCGCAGCCCUGGCCUCCGUCCGCGCAUCGUGGCCGUCCCGCGUCUCCCUCGUCCGUCCGUUCGCCACCGUAGCAAGCAAGCUUGCUCGCAUCGAUGGGCGGCUGGGCGGACGGGCCGCAGCGGUGCGGCGGCGAGCUUCAAGGCGUUGGCGGGAGCUGAAAUUCCCCAACUGCUAGCCUUGACUGGUAUUCGGGGCCCUGGCAAAAUUGCCUCCGAAACUGAAGAUACACGGCUUUCGGGCCUGUGUUCACAGGGCCGGUAAAAAAAUUUAAGGAUCAUACAAUUUUAAGGGGUCUAUUCGGGUUCGUUUUUCCACUGAAACUGUAAAAAGCGGUUAUUUUACGGGUUUGACCACCUAUACGGGUUCUGCUAGAGAUGCUCUUAUGGUAUGUAAAACCAAGCAGGUAGUCUUGGUAAAACAUUGUUACCUAACUAUGGUAUGGAAAACCUGUUUAUGUUGUCUAAUAAUUGUUGUGCUAUAUACUGGGGAUUCUAGUAGGUAAUGAUGUAACUCUUAUUGUUUUUUUUGGGGGAAAACCUCCAAUCUAUUUAUUUUUAAUCAUGGCAGUACAACGAACACCAGAAAUCAAAAUUACAUCCAGAUUCGUAGACCACCUAGCGAUGACUACAAGCAUUGAAGCGAGCCGAAAGCGCGCCGCCGUCAUCGCCCCUCCAUCGCCGGAGUCGGACACAACUUAUUGUAGUAGACAGUCGGGAAGUCGUCGUGCUAAGGUCCCAUAGGACCAGCACCACAGAACAACAACCGCCGCCGAUGAAGAAUAACGUAGACCGGAAGGAUUCAAACUGAAGACACACGAACAUGGACGAACAACGAUAAGAUCCGAGCAAAUCCACCAAAGAUAGAUCUGCCGAAGAUACACCUCCACACGCCCAUCAACGAUGCUAGAUGCACCGUCGGAACGGGGGCUGGGCGGGGAAACCUUUAUUCCAUCUUUAGGGAGCCGCCACCGUCUCGCCUUCCUGAGCAGGACAAAAGCCCUAACAAGAUUGAAAAAAUCGACUAAAAACGAAGCCCUCCCGCCGGCCCUUGCCAGGAUCCACCGUGUCUCCAUGGCCCUAGGGCCACCGGAGACGAGGCGGACCUGUGCUGGCGCCGGAGAGAGGCACAAACCCUAAGCUGCAUGGAGCAAGUGCUUUGUUAAGUACUACAUGUUAAUUAGUGUUUGGUAAUUGAAUCUGAUCUGCCUGGUGAUUAUCUAUGGAUUGUCUGUUGUGAUAAUUUAUAGAAUAAUUCAUGGUAUGGCACUUAAAUGGUGAUUUAGUAUUUCGCUUCACUCGCAUGGACUGCUUGUAGAAAUCAUAAAUUGUCAAUGUUGUCAUAUACUGGAAUCUCCGCUCUCAAACAAGAAAAAGAACCGGCUUUGGCAAAGCAGCUAACCGAGUUGCAAGUUGUUGCUUCCUCUUUUUUUAAGCAUAUCGAGCCACGCCCCCAACAAGCCCCCCCUUUCAAGGCCCUUUAUUAUCGCUGGCGCUGAAAGAUCGUCCCAAUCACGUCCCAAAAGCCCACUUUUCAUCUGUUAGGGCCAAAUUUGGAGCCGGCGGACCAAGGGAGGUCCUAUUUGGCGCUGUAGGCGCCCGAACAUGGAAAUGGCGCCUACAGCGCGCCCUCUGUGGGCUUUUUAAGUGCGGCCCAGGAAGAUCUCGUGAAAAAAUAACGCAUUAAAUUAGCGCCACAGGGAAUCGAUCUCAGGCCAUACAACCGUGCCGCUGCUUAGUUUAACCACUAGACCACCAGAAUGCUAGUGAACAAAAGCAACGCGAACUGUAUUAGGACUAAUGCAACCACGUUAUUUAUUACUCAACCAUUUACUGUACCACUUGGAUUUUUGAGUUAUUUGCAAACAAUUUAGAAACUGUCCAUUUUCUUUAAUGAAAAACAGUUCAUCAAAUUUCGAAAAAAGUUCAUCAGGUUUGAGAAAAAAUUCAUCGAAUUUGAAAAAAGAUCAUCAAUUUUGAAGAAAAAAUCUUCGGAUUUAAAAAAGUUCAUCGAUUUUGAAAAAAAGUUCAUCGGAUUUGAAAAAAGUUUACCGAUUUUGAGAAAAGUUCAUCGAAUUUGGAAAAAAGUUCAUCAAAUUUUGAAAAAAAGUUCAUCAAUUUUGAAAACAAUUCAUCAGAUUCGAAAAAGUUCAUCCGAUUUGAAUAAAAGUUCAUCGAAUUUAAAAAAUAGUUCACAAAUCUGAAAAAAGUUCAUUGAUUUGAAAAAAAAGUUCAUCAAACUCGGAAGAAGAAAAAGGAAAAAACAGAAAACAAAAAAGGAAAAAAAGAAAACCGAAAAGCCUAAAAGAAAGUAAAAGUUCAUUCUACACAAAGCAGGUGCGUUGGUGUGCUGGUUGCACCCACGGUACUACGUGCCCCAGGUCCUUUGUUCGAAUCACACCUAACACAUGUCUUUUUUGCUUCUGAAAACAGAGAAGAAAAAAAGUUAUUGGGCCGGCCCAUCGCGCGAACGCUGUAGGCGCCGGUUGCUUCUGAAAACAGAGAAGAAAAAAAGUUAUUGGGCCGGCCCAUCGCGCGAACGCUGUAGGCGCCGGUUCGCCAAAUAGGAAACCCCGCGGACCAAGGCCGAACUCGACGCGCUGGGGUGCCCGGGGGCACCGGGGUAAACGGUUGUUGGAGCGAAAACAAGCGGGCCCGCCGAGUCAGUGACUCGGCGCCUUCAUUGUACUCAUCGUCUCGGUUCCUGCAGGAAUCAAAGCGAAGGUUGCCGCGCCGGUCAGUCUUCCAUUGAUGCCUCAUGGGAAGCGCAGUGAAGGCGUGGCGACACGCGUCCCGCACGCUCCUGCCAUGCGUACACACGGCGGACAUCCUCUCGCCGCCCACCCACAGUUAUAAAUGUCGCCCCUCCCUCGCUGGUUAACACACACUCCCUCGCCAUAAAACCCUCUCCCGCUCUCCCGCUGACACUCCUCUCAACCUUUCACCGCCGACGCGCGUCACUCCUCUCUCUCUCCCCCAGCGACGACAACGGCCGAGCGCUACCCAGGCGAUGGUGCGGCGGCCAACGGCUUCGGCUGCCGCCACCUGCACGAGGACGAUACACGCCUCCUCUACGAGGCCGACUACCCAGCGCCGCCGGAUAUGCGGGUGCCGGGCUUGUGGAGGAUGAGAGCUGGCGGCGUCCCGGUGCCUCCAGUGCCCACCAGCGCUGAUCGGUGCGCCGAGAUCGUGCGCAUUUGGUCAUCCCUGCCAGAGCAGGCGCGGAACCAGGCGAGGUACGCCCCUGAUAGCAACACGCUUUGAACGACAUACUUUGACCACCGCCACGAGGAGCAGCUCGCCUCCACCAAUGGCGUCGAGCCCCGCGGCCGCCUCAACUCCAAGGGGCGCCGCCAAUUGUGGGGUGUCCCCGGCCGCACCCUCGAAGCCGUCCUCGAGUACAUCGAGGCCGGCAACACGCCGCGCUUGGAGUACUCGACUCCCCCUCCUUCUCUUGCCGCCGCGGCGAAUGGAGACCGUGACCUCCUCAUCGUCGGGCUCCCUUUCCUCUUGAUCACCGGCUCUCUGCCCCGUCAAGCUGGAGCCGCUGGAGACGCCGCUCGGGCGUCGCACCCGUGAUGGCGCCCUUGUCAUCAACGAGGGCGGGCAUGGCCCCUCUCCUCCCUCUUCCACGUGUCGUCCGGCCGAAGACCGAGUCGGGGCUGCUCCCCGUGAAGGAGCAUGAGGCCAUGGCCGCCACCGACGAGGUCACCCUCAAGUGGGCGCGGGAGGACUACGUUCGCGAGGAGAUGGCGCGCUAGCGCCGCGCCCUCGAGGAGAUCGCUGCUCGGUGCCGCGUGCACGAGGAGGGUGGCGUCAUCAUCCUCGACGACAACGACGAGGAGGCGCCCGGGCCGUCCAAUCCCCCACGCAUCGGCGACGCUGGUCAGGGGUGCAGCAGGGGCGGCGGCGGCACGCAGGACAGCGGCGAGGAUGACGGUGAUGACUACACCAAGUUCUACAGGCUGCUCGGCAUGUAGAAGGCGGGCGGCGGGGGCGACGCAGUAGUUCGUUUUAGUUAGUUUUUAAAUUAUGUUUUCAGUUUUCUGUACAAAUAUCAAUGAAAUCGCCAAGUUUGGCCAAAUUUGUGUUGUGUUUGGAAAAAAAUUAGCAGAGUUUGGUUUUCAAAAUAAGGCGUCUGGGCGGCCUUGGGGCGGCGGUUGGGAAACUGACUGCCCCCAUGCCGAUUUUUUGGCCGGCGCGCCCCCAUGCGACGUAUUUCAAGCCCAUGGGGGCCGAACGAGUGGAGAUGCUCUUAAAAACUAGCAAACAUGCCCGUGCAUUGCAGCGGGAGAAUAAAACGCAUGCUUCUAGCACAAUAAGCACAACUCAAAACCCCUUCAUAGGUUCAUGUUAUCUAUUUUAACAUACCGCCUCAUCCAUUUUAUUACUUAUCCUCAUUCAUGCUUUCAUCAACCAUGAUCGUGGUGUCCAUCUGAUCGCAUUGCGUCCGAAAGUGGCUAAACGAUCUCGGCCAUUGCCUAAAUCCUAAACCCACUCACACUUGCCACUGAACCACAACAUCACAAAUGAAUUUCUAAUAGUUUUAAAACUAACCUCGGCGAGCUAGACGUGACGUCCGCCCUCCCGCUACAACCUACACCGCCCAUUGCAAAGCCUCUGCCCAUCCGUUUCGAAAAGAAGAAAAAGCCUCUGCCCACUGAAAAGGCGCAACGUGUUGGAGGGCAAAUGGCAACGCUCUACUCUCGUUUUUUGUUGAUAAUAAUAUAUUUUUGUGUCUGUCCUGUUUGUGUUACGGAUGGAGGAGGUAGGGCCGGUUGCACAGACCCAGCCACAAAUAAAAGAUGCAAAAAGGAUGUGACCGCGCUGCGAAAGACAGAGGUGAAAACAUGCGUGUCUUUUCUUCGCUCCUGAGCGCUGGCGAAAUUUCGGAGAGAGGCCGUGGGGUAGGAUGUACGUUCAUUGGAGUAAACUAUAGCAGCUUCGGGUAGGACGUGGUUGCAUGAGAGAGAGAAUGGGUUAUAUGUCGAACACAUACUAUUUCACUCUCCGUCGGGGAUAGGCCGAGAAAAAAGAAGCGAAGGAUGAUGCCUGACCAGUGAACAGGAGAGGGUGGUCCGGUGGAGAUGGUUGGUUGGCUUUGUUCCUCCGAAACUGCUCUGCGUACAAUGAUUUUCUUCGUCCGACCAGUACGACCAGAGAGUAAGGUUGUUGUUCCUCCACCUUGUACUACCCUUGCUCUCGUGGGCCAAUGAUGAGCAUGAGCCGCACCGAUCGACACACAAGCCAGCAGCUUUGUAGUACGCGAGGUCAAUUUGUGAUCUAAUUUUUUCCGCUUCAUAUGUACUCUGUAUUUUAACUGUAUAUUUACUCAUUUUGUUAUGUAUGUAGUUCAUAUUAGAAUCUCCUAAAGGUCUUAGAGAAUCUACAACCGGUCUUCUCAAAUUCGUCGCAUACGCCGGGCGGACGGUCUGGUCAUAAAAAACCGAUCCAAACGGGCACCUCAAACCGGGCUCAAACGUCCGGACUGACUAACACCCUUCAUAUCCAGCCCAAAUAUUGUUGGGGAACAUAGCAUGCAAUUUUAAAAAAAUUCCUACGAUCACGCAAGAUCUAUCUAGGAGAUGCAUAGCAACGAGAGGGGAGAGUGUGUUCACAUACCCUCAUAGACCGAAAGCGUAAGCGUUAGUUAACGCGGUUGAUAUAGUCGAACAUCUUCACGAUCCAACCGAUCCAAGUACCGAACGUACGGCACCUCCUAGUUCAGCACACGUUCAGCUUGAUAACGUCCCUCGAACUCUUGAUCCAGCAGAGGGCCGAGGGAGAGUUUCGUCAGCACGACGGCGUGAUGACGGUGUUGAUGAUGUGAUCCGUGCAGGACUUCGCCUAAGCACUACGAUGAUACUAUCGGAGGAGUAAACGGUGUGUGAUGCCCCCGAUUCAAUUAUACACUAAUCAUGCACGCAAAAGUGUACGAUCAAGAUCAGGGACUCAUGGAAAGAUAUCACAACACAACUCUAAAAAUAAAAUAAGUCAAACAAGCAUAAUAUUACAAGCCAGGGGCCCCGAGGGCUCGAAUACAAGUGCUCGAACAUAAACGAGUCAGUGAAAACAACAAUAUCUGAGUACAGACAUAAGUCAAACAAGUUGCCAUAAGAUAGCUAGCACAAACUGGGGGACAGAUCAAAAGAGGCGCAGGCCUCCUGCCUGGGAUCCUCCUAAACUACUCCUGGUCGUCGUCAGCGGCCUGCACGUAGUAGUAGGCACGUCCAGUGUAGUAGGAGUCGUCGUCGACGGUGGCAUCUGGCUCCUGGGCUCCAACGUCUGGUUGCGGCAUCCGAGAAGAAGAGGAAAACAAGGGAAAAGAGGGAGCAAAGCAACCGUGAGUACUCAUCCAAAGUACUCGCAAGCAAAGGAGCUACACUACAUAUGCAUGGGUAUAUGUGUAAAGAGGCAAUAUCAAUGGACUGAAUUGCAGAAUGCCAGAAUAAGAGGGGGAUAGUUAGUCCUAUCGAAGACUACGCUUCUGGCAGCCUCCAUCUUGCAGCAUGUAGAAGAGAGUAGAUUGAAGUCCUCCAAGUAGCAUCGCAUAGCAUAAUCCUACCCGGCGAUCCUCCCCUCUUCGCCCUGUGGGAAAGCGAUCACCGAGUUGUCUCUGGAACUUGUCUGGGUGUGUUUUACUAAGUAUCCGAUUCUAGUUGUCAUAAGGUCAGGGACAUAGCUAUUCGAAUAGAUCAACUUCCCUGCAGGGGUGCACCACAUUUCCCAACACGCUCGAUCCCCUUUGGCCGAACACACUUUCCUGGGUCAUGACCGGCCUCGGAAGAUCAACACGCCGCAGCCCCACCUAGGCUGAACUGAGAGGUCAGCACGCCGGUCUACAUCCUAUGCACGCAGGGGUCUGGGCCCAUCGCCCAUUGCACACCUGCAUGUUGCAUGGGCGGCCGAAAGCAGACCUAGCCCCCUUAAUACAAGAGCAGGCUUACGGUCCAAUCUGGCGCGCGCCGCUCAAUCACUAACGUCACGAAGGCUUCGGCUGAUACCACGACGUCGAGUGCCCAUGUCUGUUCCCGCGUAGUUGGUUAGUGCGUAUAGGCCAGUGGCCAGACUUAGAUCAAAUAUACCAAGAUCUCGUUAAGCGUGUUAUUAUGAAGCAACCGCGAACGCCGACCAGGGACAGGACCACCUCUCACCUAGGUGGCCUCAACCUGCCCUGUUGCUCCGCCACAAAGAUCCACACAGAGGGCCGUCGGGACAAAGGUCCUUUCAGCCCCCAAUCCUUGAAUCACUCGCUGGUACUCAAUGAGCCGACCCGACUUUAGUCACCAUCUGUAAAGUAUGUAUAUAUGUAUAUUAUAUACCCGUGAUCACCUCCCGAGUGAUCACGGACCGAUAGUAUAGCAAGGCAGACUGACAAGAAUGUAGGGCCAGUGAUGAUAAACUAACAUCCUAUACUAAGCAUUUAGGAUUGCGGGUAAGGUAUCAACGACUGUAGUAACAAUGACAGGCUAUGCAACAGAAUAGGAGUAACCGAAUAUUAACAUGCUACACUACUCUAAUGCAAGCAGUAGAGAGAACAAUAGGCGAUAUCUGGUGAUCAAGGGGGGGGGGCUUGCCUGGUUGCUUUGCCAAGAAGGAGGGGUCGUCAACACUAUAGUCGAACGAGGCAGCAUCAGCGUCGGUCUCGUAGUCUACCGGAGAGAAGAAGGGGAAGAAACAGUAAAUACAAUGCAAACAUUAGCAUGACGAUGCAUGACAUGACAAUGAGCGGUGUUAGGUGUGCCCUAACGUGGUAGUAGGUGAUAAUGGCGAAAGGGGGAAACAUCCAGGAAAGUAUCCCCGGUGUUUCACGUUUUCGGACAGAUGAACCGGAGGUGAAAUAUUAUAGGUUCACUAUGCUAGGGACACAUGGCGGACAAACGAGCUGCGUAUUCGAAUUCGCCUCGUCGUUCUGAGCAACUUUCAUGUAGAAAGUAUUUUCAUCCGAGUUAUAGAUUAUUUUAUAUCAUUUUCUAAAGUUUUAUUCAUUUUUUGAUUUUAAUUAUUUAUUUAAAAAUCCAACAUUAUCCAGAACAGUGAACGAUGACGCAAGCAUGACAUCAGAGUGAUGUCAGCAGGUCAAAUGGUCGGUUGACCAGUCAAACCAGAUAGGUGGGUCCAGUGGGACCCACAUGUCAUUGUCAGGGGCACUAACAUGGGGUUUAGACUAACUAAAUGGGUUAAUUAGCGGGUGUGGCCUAGUAGUUAGUGAGAGAUUAGGGUUUUAAUUAACUAAUUUAAUUAAUUAGCAAUUUAUCUAUUUAUUUAUUUCAUUUACUAAGGUGGGGCCAAUAGGCCAGUGAGACAGGGGCGGCACAGUCAGUAGUUGACUCAGUCAACUAGUCAACAAGGGGGCCCUGGGCUCACCAGUCAGUGGCCCAGGCGGUGGGACCCACGGCGCCAUGUCGGACACCGGCCGGAAACGCGCCGGAGCUAACUCCGACGAGCCAAACGCGGCGGCGCGGCUUGGGAGGGGCGCGAAUUUCACGCACAGGGGGUCUGCUGGGCUGUGGCCGGGUGCGUUCGACGCAGCUCGGUGUCGCGCAUCGAACGGUGGUGGCCAGAGGUGUUGGAACGGAUGGACGCGAGCGCUUCGAGCUCGCUGGCGGCGAGGUGCUCUGGGCGAGCAACAACAACAAUGAUACGGGGAUGUUUCGGGCAAAUCGGAGAGCGGGGCGAGGCCUACGUGCACGCGCGAGCACAACGGCACGAUCCCAGGACCAAAGGUUCACCGGACGGUUGCCGGCGACGAGCGCGUGCGGCAACGCGUUCAGGCGCUCAACGAGCUAGGGGCUAGGGGAGACGGGGAAGCGCGUGCGCGGGUGCGUUGGGUUCCUGGAAGCACCAGGAACACGAUGUCGUGCUCAGGCGAGCACGACGGAGAGCAUGGCCACGGCGGCGAGGUGAUCCACGGUGACGGGCUCACGGCAAUGGCGACAAGGUAGCUACGGUGCACGAGGGCUUAACGGGGAGGAGCAGGAGGCGGAGGAGCUCACUGUGCGGCACGCAAGAUGGCUCGUGGUGGUUUAGUAGCAGCAGGGGGCGUCUUUGGAGUUGGUGAAGAACGGCGGUGACCGGAGAUGUGGAAGAAGGGGACCGUUGUAGCAGCGCCUCCGAGCUCCCGCUGCGGCCACCGGUCGACGAGGAAGACGAUGGCGGAGACGACGGACACGCUGGCGAGGCGAGGCGAUGGCUAUGGCCGCGCGUUUCACGGUGGCGGGUCCAUGGCGGCGGUGGUGUUAGGAUGCGGUGGGAUGGAUCUGAGGGGAGAUGGAGAGGCGCAGUGACCAAGAGGGAGAGCGGGGGUGAGUGGGGAGUAGACCGGAGGAGGCGCGGCGCUGGCGAUCUUAUCUCCUCCCGGCGUCGGUGCCGGUGAGGCGGUCGGGCGGGGACGCACCCCUGUUCUGACCCGAGUCAGGGGAACAGGAAAGGGAGACAAGGCAGGAGGGGCCGGGCCGGUUGUUGGCUAGCUGGGCCAGGUGGGCCAGUCUGGUGUGAGCUGGGCUGCCUAGUCCAGUGGGGGGGGGGUCUUUUCCUUUUGUUUUAUUUUCACUUUUUUAUUUUAUUGUCUCUUUUAUUUAAUUUAGAGCAUUUAAGUAUUUUACAAAAUUGUGUCUCCUACACCAUAAUUACCUAUGCCAUUUUGGGCACAGUCCGAACAUUUUUGUUUUAAUGUUUGAAAACUUUGGUUGUUUGUCUUAUUUUGAAUUUGAUUUUUGGACCGGUUUUGAACUAACGAAAGAUUAGCAACAGUAACGGAGGUGACGUGGCAUCAUUAACAGAGUUUCACUAUAGCAUAAUUAUUCAGGCGUUACAACUCUCCUCCACUACAAGAAAUCUCGUCCCGAGAUUUAGGAUGUAGAAGGAAACAGUGCGGGGUAUUCUUCGCGUAGAUGAUCCUCACGUUCCCAAGUGGCUUCAUCUUCAGAAUGGUGCGACCACUGAACUUUGAGGAACUUGAUCGCCUUCUGACGUGUGCGGAAUUUAGCUUGGUCAAGAAUGCGAACCAGAUGCUCUUUAUAGGAGAGGUUCUACUGCAAUUCGAGCACUUCAUGAUCCACUGCUCGGAUUGGGUCCUUGAAGCAGCGGCGGAGCUCUGACACGUGGAACACAUCGUGAACCUGAGAAAGGUUCGGCGGGAGCUCCAGUUGGUAUGCCACUUUUCCACACCUUUCCAGAAUAGUGAAAGGACCAAUAUAGCGAGGAUCCAGC
rnacentral:lncRNA from 1 species